rnacentral:rRNA from 1 species
AUGCCAGUCCUCCGCAUCAGCACGUCCAUUUCUGUGGGAUCUGGUGCAUCGACCCUGUUUUGGUUCGACCGUUAGGUUGGCGACCUCCCUAUUGCCGCCCGCUUCCCCGAGCUUUUCGCCAUCACGGCUGACCCUCGGGUUUCCGUGGAGGUGGCCCUUAUUGACUUAGGGCGCCUCGCGUUCCAUCGAUCUUUUGGCCCCCUUGAGGUCGCCGCUUGGGAUGCUCUUCUUCAGGCCAUCGCCCUUGAGCCUCUCGACGUGGAAAACGCUGAGGACUCCCUCUCGUGGCAACUAGAGACUUCGGGCCGCUUCUCGACCAAGUCCCUCUAUCAAGCAAUUGCCCCAUCUACGGCUCCGGAGUCGUUUACUUUGAUAUGGGAUAUCUGUCUCCCAUUGAAGAUCAGGAUCUUUCUCUGGUAGUGGAUUCGUGGUCGCUUUCCCUCUGGUGUUGAGGUGCGUAAGUGCAACGGCCCUAGCGACGGCCUGUGCCUCCUCUGUGGUGUAGCUGAAGAUGCUAACCACAUCUUCUUCUCUUGCAUGACCGCCCAGUUCCUUUGGUCCUGCUUCCACGACGUGGUUGGCGGAACUUGGUGCAACACCAACUUCCCCGACUUGCUGGCGGAGAUUCAGGCCUCUGCCCCUCGUCACCACCACAUUAGGUGGCUAUGUGUUGGGGUGCUAGCCUGGACGCUCUGGAUAGUGCGCAAUAGGCUUGCCAUCCAGUGUUUUCCUCUUCGCCGUGCGACUGACACCAUUUUUAAGAUGUGUGGUUUCUUGCAGCUCUAG